CCUACGGGAGGCAGCAGUAAGGAAUAUUGGUCAAUGGACGAAAGUCUGAACCAGCCAUGCCGCGUGAAGGAUGAAGGCCCUCUGGGUUGUAAACUUCUUUUAUCUGGGACGAAAAAAGCUCAUUCUUGAGCACUUGACGGUACCAGAGGAAUAAGCACCGGCUAACUCCGUGCCAGCAGCCGCGGUAAUACGGAGGGUGCAAGCGUUAUCCGGAUUCACUGGGUUUAAAGGGUGCGUAGGUGGGUCUGUAAGUCAGUGGUGAAAUCUCCGGGCUUAACUCGGAAACUGCCAUUGAUACUAUAGGUCUUGAAUCAUCUGGAGGUAAGCGGAAUAUGUCAUGUAGCGGUGAAAUGCUUAGAUAUGACAUAGAACACCAAUUGCGAAGGCAGCUUACUACGGGUGUAUUGACACUGAGGCACGAAAGCGUGGGGAUCAAACAGGAUUAGAUACCCUGGUAGUCCACGCCCUAAACGAUGGAUACUCGACAUCAGCGAUACACUGUUGGUGUCUGAGCGAAAGCAUUAAGUAUCCCACCUGGAAGUACGACCGCAAGGUUGAAACUCAAAGGAAUUGACGG
rnacentral:rRNA from 1 species